UACGGAGGGAGCUAGCGUUGUUCGGAAUUACUGGGCGUAAAGCGCACGUAGGCGGCUUUGUAAGUCAGAGGUGAAAGCCUGGAGCUCAACUCCAGAACUGCCUUUGAGACUGCAUCGCUAGAAUCAUGGAGAGGUUAGUGGAAUUCCGAGUGUAGAGGUGAAAUUCGUAGAUAUUCGGAAGAACACCAGUGGCGAAGGCGACUUACUGGACACAUAUUGACGCUGAGGUGCGAAAGCGUGGGGAGCAAACAGG
rnacentral:rRNA from 1 species